rnacentral:rRNA from 1 species
CAGCGCCACGAGUGGCAACCGCUUUUAUUGGGCCUAAAGCGUCCGUAGCCGGUUUGAUAAAUUCCUUGUGAAAUCGCUGCGCUCAACGUAGCGGAUGGCGGGGAACACUGUCAGACUAGGGACCGGGAGGAGUCAGAGGUAUUCUGGGGGGAACGGUAAAAUGUGAUAAUCCUCGGAGGACCACCUGUGGCGAAGGCGUCUGACCAGAACGGAUCCGACGGUGAGGGACGAAAGCCAGGGGAGCAAACCGGAUUAGAUACCCGAGUAGUCC